CGCUAGCUACAGGCUUAACACAUGCAAGUCGAGGGGCAGCAUGGUCUUAGCUUGCUAAGACUGAUGACGACCGGCGCACGGGUGAGUAACACGUAUCCAACCUGCCGUCUACUCUUGGACAGCCUUCUGAAAGGAAGAUUAAUACAAGAUGGCAUCAUGAGUCCGCAUGUUCACAUGAUUAAAGGUAUUCCGGUAGACGAUGGGGAUGCGUUCCAUUAGAUAGUAGGCGGGGUAACGGCCCACCUAGUCUUCGAUGGAUAGGGGUUCUGAGAGGAAGGUCCCCCACAUUGGAACUGAGACACGGUCCAAACUCCUACGGGAGGCAGCAGUGAGGAAUAUUGGUCAAUGGGCGAGAGCCUGAACCAGCCAAGUAGCGUGAAGGAUGACUGCCCUAUGGGUUGUAAACUUCUUUUAUAAAGGAAUAAAGUCGGGUAUGCAUACCCGUUUGCAUGUACUUUAUGAAUAAGGAUCGGCUAACUCCGUGCCAGCAGCCGCGGUAAUACGGAGGAUCCGAGCGUUAUCCGGAUUUAUUGGGUUUAAAGGGAGCGUAGAUGGAUGUUUAAGUCAGUUGUGAAAGUUUGCGGCUCAACCGUAAAAUUGCAGUUGAUACUGGAUAUCUUGAGUGCAGUUGAGGCAGGCGGAAUUCGUGGUGUAGCGGUGAAAUGCUUAGAUAUCACGAAGAACUCCGAUUGCGAAGGCAGCCUGCUAAGCUGCAACUGACAUUGAGGCUCGAAAGUGUGGGUAUCAAACAGGAUUAGAUACCCUGGUAGUCCACACGGUAAACGAUGAAUACUCGCUGUUUGCGAUAUACAGCAAGCGGCCAAGCGAAAGCGUUAAGUAUUCCACCUGGGGAGUACGCCGGCAACGGUGAAACUCAAAGGAAUUGACGGGGGCCCGCACAAGCGGAGGAACAUGUGGUUUAAUUCGAUGAUACGCGAGGAACCUUACCCGGGCUUAAAUUGCAGAUGAAUUACGGUGAAAGCCGUAAGCCGCAAGGCAUCUGUGAAGGUGCUGCAUGGUUGUCGUCAGCUCGUGCCGUGAGGUGUCGGCUUAAGUGCCAUAACGAGCGCGACCCUUGUUGUCAGUUACUAACAGGUUCCGCUGAGGACUCUGACAAGACUGCCAUCGUAAGAUGUGAGGAAGGUGGGGAUGACGUCAAAUCAGCACGGCCCUUACGUCCGGGGCUACACACGUGUUACAAUGGGGGGUACAGAGGGCCGCUACCACGCGAGUGGAUGCCAAUCCCCAAAACCUCUCUCAGUUCGGACUGGAGUCUGCAACCCGACUCCACGAAGCUGGAUUCGCUAGUAAUCGCGCAUCAGCCACGGCGCGGUGAAUACGUUCCCGGGCCUUGUACACACCGCCCGUCAAGCCAUGGGAGCCGGGGGUACCUGAAGUGCGUAACCGCGAGGAGCGCCCUAGGGUAAAACUGGUGAC
rnacentral:rRNA from 1 species